rnacentral:rRNA from 1 species
AGUGAACGCUGGCGGUAGGCCUAACACAUGCAAGUCGAACGGCAGCACAGUAAGAGCUUGCUCGUACGGGUGGCGAGUGGCGGACGGGUGAGGAAUACAUCGGAAUCUACUUUUUCGUGGGGGAUAACGUAGGGAAACUUACGCUAAUACCGCAUACGACCUACGGGUGAAAGCAGGGGAUCUUCGGACCUUGCGCGAUUGAAUGAGCCGAUGUCUGAUUAGCUAGUUGGCGGGGUAAAGGCCCACCAAGGCGACGAUCCGUAGCUGGUCUGAGAGGAUGAUCAGCCACACUGGAAGUGAGACACGGUCCAGACUCCUACGCGAGGCAGCAGUGGGGAAUAUUGGACAAUGGGCGCAAGCCUGAUCCAGCCAUACCGCGUGGGUGAAGAAGGCCUUAGGGUUGUAAAGCCCUUUUGUUGGGAAAGAAAAGCAGCAGGUUAAUACCCCGCUGUUCUGACGGUACCCAAAGAAUAAGCACCGGCUAACUUCGUG